rnacentral:rRNA from 1 species
GACGAACGCUGGCGGCGUGCUUAACACAUGCAAGUCGAGCGGUAAGGCCCUUUCGGGGGUACACGAGCGGCGAACGGGUGAGUAACACGUGGGUGACCUGCCCUCAGCUCUGGGAUAAGCCUGGGAAACCGGGUCUAAUACUGGAUAUGACUCCAUGACGCAUGUUGUGGGGUGGAAAGCCUUGUGCGGCUGAGGAUGGGCCCGCGGCCUAUCAGCUUGUUGGUGGGGUGANGGCCUACCAAGGCGACGACGGGUAGCCGGCCUGAGAGGGCGACCGGCCACACUGGGACUGAGACACGGGCCCAGACUCCUACGGGAGGCAGCAGUGGGGAAUCUUGCGCAAUGGGCGAAAGCCUGACGCAGCGACGCCGCGUGA